rnacentral:rRNA from 1 species
AACGAACGCUGGCGGCGUGGAUAAGACAUGCAAGUCGAACGAGAGAAUUGCUAGCUUGCUAAUAAUUCUCUAGUGGCGCACGGGUGAGUAACACGUGAGUAACCUGCCCCCGAGAGCGGGAUAGCCCUGGGAAACUGGGAUUAAUACCGCAUAGUAUCGAAAGAUUAAAGCAGCAAUGCGCUUGGGGAUGGGCUCGCGGCCUAUUAGUUAGUUGGUGAGGUAACGGCUCACCAAGGCGAUGACGGGUAGCCGGUCUGAGAGGAUGUCCGGCCACACUGGAACUGAGACACGGUCCAGACACCUACGGGUGGCAGCAGUCGAGAAUCAUUCACAAUGGGGGAAACCCUGAUGGUGCGACGCCGCGUGGGGGAAUGAAGGUCUUCGGAUUGUAAACCCCUGUCAUGUGGGAGCAAAUUAAAAAGAUAGUACCACAAGAGGAAGAGACGGCUAACUCUGUGCCAGCAGCCGCGGUAAUACAGAGGUCUCAAGCGUUGUUCGGAAUCACUGGGCGUAAAGCGUGCGUAGGCUGUUUCGUAAGUCGUGUGUGAAAGGCGCGGGCUCAACCCGCGGACGGCACAUGAUACUGCGAGACUAGAGUAAUGGAGGGGGAACCGGAAUUCUCGGUGUAGCAGUGAAAUGCGUAGAUAUCGAGAGGAACACUCGUGGCGAAGGCGGGUUCCUGGACAUUAACUGACGCUGAGGCACGAAGGCCAGGGGAGCGAAAGGGAUUAGAUACCCCUGUAGUCCUGGCAGUAAACGGUGCACGCUUGGUGUGCGGGGAAUCGACCCCCUGCGUGCCGGAGCUAACGCGUUAAGCGUGCCGCCUGGGGAGUACGGUCGCAAGAUUAAAACUCAAAGAAAUUGACGGGGACCCGCACAAGCGGUGGAGUAUGUGGCUUAAUUCGAUGCAACGCGAAGAACCUUACCUGGGCUUGACAUGUAAUGAACAACAUGUGAAAGCAUGCGACUCUUCGGAGGCGUUACACAGGUGCUGCAUGGCCGUCGUCAGCUCGUGUCGUGAGAUGUUUGGUUAAGUCCAGCAACGAGCGCAACCCCUGUUGCCAGUUACCAGCACGUGAAGGUGGGGACUCUGGCGAGACUGCCCAGAUCAACUGGGAGGAAGGUGGGGAGGACGUCAGGUCAGUAUGGCCCUUAUGCCCAGGGCUGCACACGUACUACAAUGCCCAGUACAGAGGGGGCCGAAGCCGCGAGGCGGAGGAAAUCCUGAAAACUGGGCCCAGUUCGGACUGUAGGCUGCAACCCGCCUACACGAAGCCGGAAUCGCUAGUAAUGGCGCAUCAGCUACGGCGCCGCG